GAUGAACGCUGGCGGCGUGCUUAACACAUGCAAGUCGAACGAAGCACUGUAUUUGAUUUCUUUCUGGUCUGAUUAUUUUGUGGCUGAGUGGCGCACGGAUGAGUAACGCGUGGGUCACCUGUCUUUUACAGGGAGAUAACCUUUUGAAGCGUCUUCUAUUACCGCAUAAGCUUACAACAUCGCAGGAGGCAUUGUUAUAAACUCCGGUUGUAUAAGAUGGACCCUCGUUGGAUUGGCUAGUUGGGGAGGUAACGGCCCACCAAGGCGAAGAGCCAUAGCCGAGAUGAGAGGGUGGCCGGCGACAUUGGGAGUGAGACACGGCCCAAACUCCUCCGGAAGGGAGGAGUGGGGAAUAUUGCAAAAUCGGCGAAAGGAUGAUGCAGCGACGAUGCGUGAGCGCAGAAGUAAGGCGGUAAGUAAAGCUCUAGCAGCAGGGAAGAUAAUGACGGUACCUGACUAGGAAGCAACGGCUAAAUACGUG
rnacentral:rRNA from 1 species